AUUGAACGCUGGCGGCAGGCCUAACACAUGCAAGUCGAGCGGAUGAAGGGAGCUUGCUCCUGGAUUCAGCGGCGGACGGGUGAGUAAUGCCUAUGAAUAUGCCUGGUAGUGGGGGAUAACGUCCGGAAACGGGCGCUAAUACCGCAUACGUCCUGAGGGAGAAAGUGGGGGAUCUUCGGACCUCACGCUAUCAGAUGAGCCUAGGUCGGAUUAGCUAGUUGGUGGGGUAAAGGCCUACCAAGGCGACGAUCCGUAACUGGUCUGAGAGGAUGAUCAGUCACACUGGAACUGAGACACGGUCCAGACUCCUACGGGAGGCAGCAGUGGGGAAUAUUGGACAAUGGGCGAAAGCCUGAUCCAGCCAUGCCGCGUGUGUGAAGAAGGUCUUCGGAUUGUAAAGCACUUUAAGUUGGGAGGAAGGGCAGUAAGUUAAUACCUUGCUGUUUUGACGUUACCGGCAGAAUAAGCACCGGCUAACUUCGUG
rnacentral:rRNA from 1 species